UUGCUCGUGGCGGAAGCGGGUAGACGUGCCGGACUGUUAAUCCGGGGCCGAAAGGCGUGCAGGUUCGAGGCCUGCCGGGCAAGCCA
rnacentral:tRNA from 1 species